CAAUCUCUAGAACUCCUCCCAUCUUGCAAAACUGAAACUCUGUACUUGUUACGCACUGAUUCCCCAGCCUCCCUCCCCAGCCACCGGCAAGUGUCACUCUAGUCUCCGUCCCUGUGAAUUUGACCACUCUGGGCACCUCAGGAAAGGCUCCCGCCCUCCCUCCAGGGACAUACCUCCAGGAACAUCACUGGCUUGAACUCCUGUUCCAAAUACCUGCUCUGAACCUCGGUCACCAGUUGGACCACUAGGACUGAGAGUUCCUGACGACAAAGAGAAAAUGACAAGGUUGGAGUCGAGAGGACUUCCCGUGUGCACUACUGAGACAAAGAACUCCCUUUUAUGGAAGACGAUGCUGCUUUCCAAUGAUGUGAACGGACUUGCCCAAGGUCAUCUAGACUUCAACAAAGAGGCCAAGCAGGCUGUUACCCACCCCCCCCACACACACACCCAUUCUACCACACGGGGGCCUCCCCAGUCUAGGUCUGCCCUUAGGGGGGUGCACAAACCACUCCCGUGUUGGGCGUUUUGCUCUAUUUGUGCAUCUCCCAGCCCACAGCCCAGGGACCAACUCUUCCCCUUUGUCAGCCUUCUUUAGCCCUGACCCUGGUGCCUGCCACCAUCCUAGGCAAGUGGCCAACAAAUUGUUGUGGCUCAAAGGAAUUGAAGUAAUGAAGCCCGUCGGGUUAUUGCAUUAAAGUAACAACUUACUCGAUAUGUACAGAUAAUGUCAGAUCUGCUUUAGAUCCCCUGGAUUCUAAAGUAAAUGAGUUUCUGGAUCCUUCACUAGCUCAAAACCUUCAUUCAUUCAUUCAUUUGUCCAUUCAUUUGGCCUUUCUUGAGCUGCCCCUUGGGCUAGGCACUGUGUUAGGGACAGACACACAGUCCAGUCCACAGAAGAAUCUUGACAGUGUUAAGUGUAGAUAUUAUAAAGGCAUAUGUUCAUUGUAAAAGAGAAAAA